AUUGAACGCUGGCGGCAGGCCUAACACAUGCGAGUCGAGCGGAUGAAGGGAGCUUGCUCCUGGAUUCAGCGGCGGACGGGUGAGGAAUGCCUAGGAAUCUGCCUGGUAGUGGGUGAUAACGUCCGGAAACGGGCGCUAAUACCUCAUACGUCCUGAGGGCGAAAGUGGGGUGUCUUCGGACCUCACGCUAUCAUAUGAGCCUAGGUCGGAUUAGCUAGUUGGUGGGGUAAAGGCCUACCAAGGCGACGAUCCGUAACUGGUCUGAGAGGAUGAUCAGUCACACUGGAACUGAGACACGGUCCAGACUCCUACGGGAGGCAGCAGUGGGGAAUCUUGCACAAUGGGCGAAAGCCUGACGCAGCAAUGCCGCGUGAGUGAAGAAGGACUUCGGAUUGUAAAGCACUUUAAGUUGGGAGGAAGGGCAGUAAGUUAACAACUCGCUGUUUUGACGUUACCAAAAGAAUAAGCAACGGCUAACUUCGUG
rnacentral:rRNA from 1 species